rfam:Vibrio caribbeanicus ATCC BAA-2122 VIBC2010_93, whole genome shotgun sequence.
GUAAUCUCGGAGGGUAGUAUUUUCUGGGGGAUACGCGCAUUGCUCAUUCAGGCUGAGUGUACAAUGCGUAGGGUAGGUAUCAACAUACUUUUGUGUUGAUAGACGGGAUACUGAUGCUGUUACUAGCAUAUAAAUAGGAAACCCAACA